AGCAUUAAAUUUUCCGCCCGAAUUGAACGGCGUCUUUAGGGACAUGAAUCGUGAAAAAGUGGUGUUCCCGGCACCGGAUUUUUUGGGAACAAAUCUAGCGGCGGAGGAGUAAUUGGGGAGGGAGAAUUGGGAAAAGGUGCCAUUUGAGAAUGGGUGAUGAGAAGGAGGAGAGGGGUUUGGUUUGGGUGGGAGUGGGAAUGGAUCGCGAAGUGUGGUGGAUCGGGAGUGGGAGAAGCGGUGGAGGUGGUGGUGGUGGUUGUGUCGCCGGAGCAGAGAUUGGAAGAGUGGUCUUGACAUUUGUAUAUGAUUUUCACUACAACGCUGCUGAGUGCCGAGUCAGUGAAGGACCAACUUAGAAUAUGGGCCCGUUCCUACAGCCUUUUUCAGUUAUUAAGCCCGACAGCUCCUAAUACUGGGUUUGAACUUCUUUAAUGUAAACCCACCCCCAGACAUCACAUAGGCUCUUAAUUCAGUUCCUGAAAGUGGGGCACCCAUAACUUCAAGAAUCCCAGCAGAUGUGUUAAGUUUCGUCAUGGCCAUUCUAUAAACUUUAUCAGGGUUGACUGUGAAUCUUGAACGGAGAUACAAGCCCUUAAAGAUGCAAUACACACAAAAUAGUUAGACAGUGAUCCAUAUGUAAAGCAUGAUUUAUUGAUGAGAGAUUUCACCAGCAGUAAUCCACAUACAAUGGGAAAGGAAAUUGCACAUUUCUGGCAAUUUCCUAUCAGAAUGUGCUCGACUUAUUUAUAACAAGGAAUGUGAUAGUUAUCCAUGCUUCUUUACAAAUUUUACUGUUACUUGAUGAAUUUUGAUUAAAUUUAGUGGCUCCCUAAAUUUUGUACUUAAGAUCUGCCAUUGACCACAAAAACAAACACGCUAUUAAAAAGUCGGGAUAGAUAACUAGGACAAGCAGCACAGCCAUCAACCAUAUAACAAUAUAACUGAAGGUCAAGAAAAAACAGUAGUCUGAGUGAAUUUGCAAUUAAUACUGGCUACAUGCUAGCAUUCCUAAUAUUUAGUGUCAGUCCUCUACUAAAUAACUCAUGAUCCUAAAUCCCCAUUUUAAACUAGAUCCAUACAGGUAAAAACACUAAAUUAUAAUUGCAAUGUAUGUAUUCACAAGAUCUCGGAAACAGCCUAUUCACUUGCAAGGCUGCCCCCAGACCCACUAGGCGAGAGUUUCAUGCACUGUGCCGCCCUUUCAUCUAUUCCGAUUUUACAUAUUGUCAUAAUGUAGGAAUGAAAGAACUUACAGCAAAAGAAACAAUAGCGGUUGAAAGGGCGAGGAAACCAUACUUGGCCAAACCUUCAGAAAUACCAACGAAAGCGUUUGCAAUCCAAAACAUAAACUUCCACAACAUACCACAUAUCAAAACUCCAACAGCACCAAACAGAAACAAGUAAUUCCUCUUAAAGAACGCCUCAAUUUGCAAUCCAAUCGCGGUGCUAUAACGCGAAAAAGCUGAGCUAACCGCAGCCGCAGGUUUAUCAAACACCUUCUUAGCAAAAUCAGCAUUAAAUUUUCCGCCCGAAUUGAACGGCGUCUUUAGGGACAUGAAUCGUGAAAAAGUGGUGUUCCCGGCACCGGAUUUUUUGGGAACAAAUCUAGCGGCGGAGGAGUAAUUGGGGAGGGAGAAUUGGGAAAAGGUGCCAUUUGAGAAUGGGUGAUGAGAAGGAGGAGAGGGGUUUGGUUUGGGUGGGAGUGGGAAUGGAUCGCGAAGUGUGGUGGAUCGGGAGUGGGAGAAGCGG
rnacentral:lncRNA from 1 species